AACGAACGCUGGCGGCAGGCCUAACACAUGCAAGUCGAACGCCCCGCAAGGGAGGUGGCAGACGGGUGAGUAACACGUGGGAACGUACCCUUCGGUUCGGGAUAACUCAGGGAAACUUGAGCUAAUACCGGAUACGUCCGAGAGGAGAAAGAUUUAUCGCCGAGGGAUCGGCCCGCGUCUGAUUAGCUUGUUGGUGAGGUAACGGCUCACCAAGGCGACGAUCAGUAGCUGGUCUGAGAGGAUGAUCAGCCACAUUGGGACUGAGACACGGCCCAAACUCCUACGGGAGGCAGCAGUGGGGAAUAUUGGACAAUGGGCGGCAAGCCUGAUCCAGCAAUGCCGCGUGGAUGAAGAAGGUUUUCGGAUUGUUAAAGUCCUUUCGGCGGGGACGAUGAUGACGGUACCCGCAGAAG
rnacentral:rRNA from 1 species